rnacentral:lncRNA from 1 species
CAACAAGUGACUAGUGUAAGCGCGUUGGAGUGGAACUAUUUCUGGAAAAGCAAUAACCUUUUCAUAUAAGAAACUUAUCCAGUAUGUGCAACAUCCUGCUAACAAAGAUCAACUUAAAUUGUAAAAUACACACAUAAAUAAGUCAACUUAAAUUGUAAAAUAUACACAUAAAUAAGGGGAAAAUUCACAUGUACAAUACCAAAUCAGGUCACAUACCAUAUGCAAAAUAAUGACCUCACCAUUUCAAAGGAAUAAUACAGUUCAUC